rnacentral:rRNA from 1 species
UACGUAGGGUGCAAGCGUUUGUCCGGAAUUAUUGGGCGUAAAGGGCUCGUAGGCGGUCUGUCACGUCGGGAGUGAAAACUCAGGGCUUAACCCUGAGCCUGCUUCCGAUACGGGCAGACUAGAGGUAUGCAGGGGGAGAACGGAAUUCCUGGUGUAGCGGUGAAAUGCGCAGAUAUCAGGAGGAACACCGGUGGCGAAGGCGGGUCUCUGGGCAGUAACUGACGCUGAGGAGCGAAAGCGUGGGGAGCGAACAGG